CCGAUAGGCGUAGGCGAUGGACAACGGGUUGAUAUUCCCGUACUGACGAAGAACCGCCCCAGUCAAUCCAGUAAUGCUAAGUGUCCGAAUCCCUCUGACUGAGCCCUUCGGGGUGAGGCGUUGGGGCUAGCACACGACCCUAUGCUGGUGCGGCUAGCGUAUUAACAGGUGUGACGCAGGAAGGUAGCUGAGCCGGGCGAUGGUAGUCCCGGUGUAAGGACGUAGGGCGAGGGAUAGGCAAAUCCGUUCCUCACAUAGCCUGAGAUCCGAUGCGUACCCCUCACGGGGGAAAUCAGUGAUCCUAUGCUGCCGAGAAAAGCAUCGACGCGAGGUUCUAGUCACCCGUACCCCAAACCAACACAGG
rnacentral:rRNA from 1 species